rnacentral:lncRNA from 1 species
GUUCACUGUAGUUCAUGCCAUUUGCAUGAAACUGACAUAAGCUGACACUCUGCUGUAUAUCUUGGCACAAUAUUGCUUUCAUCUCUGGAGUCGGGUGUCUUACAAAUUUAACAUUGUCAGUUGGGACCGUCCAAAGAUAUUUACAGUAAUGCUGAGGUCAAGCAAUGGCAGUGGAACUGUACAGGAUGUGGGGGCUGGGCCAAAGCCGUGGGACUCCGGAUUUAUUUUGUGAGUUGGAGAAUUGUCUAGUCAUCAGACCAACAGAGGAGCAAACCUCUAACAGCAUCUCCCUGCUUCUUCCCACCCUCUCAACAGGAGGCAUUGGAGAAGGUUUAUCUAAUGACUGACAUCUGACGCAUAAGGUGCAGGCACACUUACUCAGGGUGCGAAUAUUUACUGAGUGUCUCUGUGGGGCCAUACACUACUCUAGGCACUGGACAUACACCAGUAAAGAGAAGCUGUCCUCAUCUGUCUUAUUUUCUGGUCUUAAAUCUAAAGCCAAGAGGCAUUUAGCAGCACAAAUCCUCUUCAGCAGUCAACACUCCCAAAGUUUCAGGCACUGAGGAAAAUAAAAACAAAACUGUGGCCCUUUCCCAAGAAGCGCACAGUGUCCACAAGAAUGUGAAAGCCAUCUGGAAACUGAUAAACUGCAAAAAGCUCAGCCAUCUUCUGUUGGCAAAAUAAAAGAAUGGAUGUCCUUGGAAGAACGAUGUCCUUGGAAAGUCAUCAAAUAAAAAUGUGAGAGAAACACAGCCAUUAGAAGCUAAACAGCUUGGGACACCCUUGUUUACACAGCACGAUCACUGUAAUAUUUUGAAGUAAAUUGUUGUUUUUAAAAUCCAAUAAAAUCUACUUUCCAUUCACCUUGAAAAUGUGAAUUGAAACUCAAGAGCCAAAAACAAAAACAAAAACAAAAAACACAUGAGAACACUACAUGCUGACCCUGAGUCUCCAAAACAUCUAUUUUGUGCAAAGCACUUUGCAGUAUCCAAGUACUUCACAUUCAUUGCCUCACGGCAUGAGGACCCCCUCAAGGCCUUUAACCAUCAAGAUAUUGCUGCAUUCGUGGGGGGAUCUCCUUCCCAUUUUUCUGGAAAAUCACUUUUCAAACAAAGAUUUUAAAGGGCAGAACAGAGCCAACCCAUGGUUUCCACAUAAGUCACUGCCAAAAAUGUAGAAGACAGACUUGUGAUCAUUUUUAAGAGGAAAACUAGCAGAUUCUAUCUUAGUCACACAAAGUUAUCAACUCAGGCCAAAAUGACAAAACACUUGAAGGGCUGGCUUCACUAUUUCCAAAAUCAAAAUAGUCAUCAACAAGUGGUUAAAAUCGGGGGAAGGUUGCACUUAUCAUGUUUUAGAGGCAAGCCAUUUCCAAGUUAAGAUUUUAAGAGGCACAAGCAACCAAGAACUCACAAUCAUGAUACGGUUUUCUCUUCCACCUAGGACCUAUGUCCUCACCUCCUCCACUCAUGUUCACCUUUAUUGUAAAAAUAGCAACGCUGGAAGUAAUGGCACUCUAGGAGCAUUGGGACGGAUUUCAAAAAUCCUUCUUCUGAGCCCAAUAGUGUCUUAAGCCAAGUAGACAGCUCGCAGGGUAAACACAUAGCAAAAUAUAUUCUAGAGCACUACCAUGCAGGCUGGUUUUGCCCUAAGGAAUCAAACUACCUGCAAGUUCUGGAUCCAGGUUUCGAGGGAGUAUGGUGAGCUGUACAGUCUUGUGAACUAGGGGACUCGCACAUUUCUGGCUUCCACUACCCCGGCCUCCCUCUUUUUUGUUAGCUCCACUUAAAGGGAAAGCCCUGUGUACACUUCUUAUAUUUUAUCUUUUUUUUUUUUUUUUUUUGAGAUGGAGUUUCGCUCUUGUUGCCUAGGCUGGAGUACAAUGGCGUGAUCUCGGCUCACCGCAACCUCCGACUCCCAGGUUCAAGCGAUUCUCCUGCCUCAGCCUCCCGAGUAGCUGAGAUUACAGACAUCUCCCAAGUAGCUGAGAUUACAGGCAUGCGCACCACCACACCUGGCUUUUUUUUUUUUUU